CAGGCUGGAACUCGCCUGCAUGAAGUUGGAUUCGCUAGUAAUCGCGCAUCAGCCAUGGCGCGGUGAAUACGUUCCCGGGCCUUGUACACACCGCCCGUCAAGCCAUGGAAGCCGGGGGCGCUUGAAGUGCGUUGCCGCAAGGCGCGCCCUAGAGCGAAACCGGUGACUGGGGCUAAGUCGUAACAAGGUAUC
rnacentral:rRNA from 1 species